rnacentral:rRNA from 1 species
AUACAUGCAAGUCGAGCGAAUGGAUUGAGAGCUUGCUCUCAAGAAGUUAGCGGCGGACGGGUGAGUAACACGUGGGUAACCUGCCCAUAAGACUGGGAUAACUCCGGGAAACCGGGGCUAAUACCGGAUAACAUUUUGAACCGCAUGGUUCGAAAUUGAAAGGCGGCUUCGGCUGUCACUUAUGGAUGGACCCGCGUCGCAUUAGCUAGUUGGUGAGGUAACGGCUCACCAAGGCAACGAUGCGUAGCCGACCUGAGAGGGUGAUCGGCCACACUGGGACUGAGACACGGCCCAGACUCCUACGGGAGGCAGCAGUAGGGAAUCUUCCGCAAUGGACGAAAGUCUGACGGAGCAACGCCGCGUGAGUGAUGAAGGCUUUCGGGUCGUAAAACUCUGUUGUUAGGGAAGAACAAGUGCUAGUUGAAUAAGCUGGCACCUUGACGGUACCUAACCAGAAAGCCACGGCUAACUACGUGCCAGCAGCCGCGGUAAUACGUAGGUGGCAAGCGUUAUCCGGAAUUAUUGGGCGUAAAGCGCGCGCAGGUGGUUUCUUAAGUCUGAUGUGAAAGCCCACGGCUCAACCGUGGAGGGUCAUUGGAAACUGGGAGACUUGAGUGCAGAAGAGGAAAGUGGAAUUCCAUGUGUAGCGGUGAAAUGCGUAGAGAUAUGGAGGAACACCAGUGGCGAAGGCGACUUUCUGGUCUGUAACUGA